rnacentral:rRNA from 1 species
UACAGAGGUCCCGAGCAUUGUUCGGAUUCACUGGGCGUAAAGGGUGCGUAGGUGGUGAGGUAAGUCGGAUGUGAAAUCUCCGGGCUCAACCCGGAAAUGGCAUUGGAAACUACCUUGCUGGAGGGUUUGAGGGGGGAUUGGAAUACUUGGUGUAGCAGUGAAAUGCGUAGAUAUCAAGUGGAACACCAGUGGCGAAGGCGAAUCCCUGGAAAAUACCUGACACUGAGGCACAAAAGCUAGGGGAGCAAACAGG